GCCAAUUUACACAUGGACCUAUUGCAUUAUCUCCAUUGGUGUGGGUGUGGAUAGCUGCUCUGCGUUAGCAUAACAAGUCUUUGCUUAUGUAUUCAACUCUUAGAGGCUAAAUACCAAGAUUUUUCAGCUUCUGGGUAGAGGUGAAGAAGCCUCUUGGAUGAAGUACAGACGUUUCGAUGCCGACUCCUGAACGUCUGAGGAUGAAGAAUUUGCACAGCUGUUUGUGUGUGGUAAAUGAACAGAAGUGGUUGUGCUAAGUUGAAUUUGAUACUUGUGGCGAGAAACUGCAGAAAGAAUGUGAAUUUUACACGUUCAUACAGUAGAGUCAGGUGUCAUCUGCAUAGAAAUUCAUUUUGUUCAGAUUUGAAUAUAUGUUUAUAUCAGGUUCAAACUUUAUAUUAGGUAUUGAAUUGAUGUGUGUUUUCCUCUGUUUGUAGGAACCAGCCCAGGUCACCAUGGAAUCUCAAGUGAAGGUCAAGAAGAAGCGAGUGGCUGUUACAGUGCCACCUGCAGCUCCUGAUGGUGGCUACAGCUGGCUCAUCUUAAUCUCCAGCUUCUUUGUCUUUGGCCUGACCUUUGGAGUUAUCAAAUCAUUUGGUGUCUUCUUCACCAAGAUACACCAACACUUUCAAACCACGGCCACAGGAGCAUCAUGGAUCACCUCCAUUAUGGUGGCCACGAUUUAUAUCGUAGCUCCUCUAGCUUCUGUGCUGAGUGCUUGCUUCAGCCAUCGAGCUGUGGUGAUAAUCGGUGGACUGAUCUGCAGCUUAGGAGUCAUAGCUGGGUCUUUUUCUGACAACCUGAUCGAACUCUGCGUAACGGUGGGGUUUCUGAAUGGUGUUGGCUACGCUCUGUCCUGGAUCCCGACCGUGACAAUCCUGAGCUUCUACUUUGAGAAGAAGCGUCCACUGGCAAACGCCUUGUCCACCACUGGAGAAUGCAUCUUUACUUUUGUCCUCACACCCUUGUUUCAGGUUUUGAUUAAUGCUUACACCUGGAGGGGUGCUCUCCUGUGCCUUGGAGGUCUACAGCUGCUUCUGUGUGUGUGUGGUGUACUGCUGAGACCCCUGAGAGCCUCCAAAAAUGAGGCUUUUGUCAGUGAAGUUACAACAGAAGAGCAAGGCUUCGUGCAGCAAACGCUUUUAUUAGAGCCGUCCGAGCCGAAGCCACCUCUCGGUCAGGAGUCUGCGGUGAUACAGACGUGUGAAGCGCCUGAUGUGGGAAAUGUGACAGUGCAACUUGAAGAACCGGAGGAGCAAAGUUUAAAAGAAUCACGAUGCACACCGAAAACCAGUGAAUUCAUGGCUAAAGUUCUGCGUUAUAUGGAUUACAGCCUUAUCACUAAUGCAAACUUCAUGGUCUUCACCAUGUUCGGGGUGUUUUCUUGUCUGGGUCUCUUUGCCCCGGUCUUGUUUCUGGUUCCUUACGCCCGCAGUAAAGGGGUGCAGGAGCACCACGCUGCUUUACUCGUGUCCAUCUCUGCCGCUCUGGAUCUGCUCGGAAGAAUCGUCUUUGGUUGGGUCGCAAACCUCAGACUGAUCCAGGCGGUGAAACAGUUGACAGCGACUGUGCUUCUCCAGGGGAUCCUGUUGCUCCUUUUUCCACUGGCCUCCUCCUACAUUGAACUCGUCGCUCUCAGCGCAGCCUACGGCCUCACAUUCGGAGCCACGGUCUCCAUCCACAUCACCGUGUUGUCCGAGGUCGUCGGCGUCCACAGGCUCGGCAGCGCCCUCGGCUUUUUCAUGCUCAUACGCAGCGGCGGGGGCCUGCUCGGACCACCCAUUGCCGGUCUCCUCAUUGACAGGACGGGUGAUUACGGAACAGCUUUCCUGAUGGCAGGAGUGGCCUUCAUCAUCUCCACCAUGUUCCUGCUUGCUCUUCAUUGCAUGAACACUAGGGGUCAGAAACCGACUCUUAAUGUGUCGUUGAACCAAACAGAACAAAACCCAUGAGGAGCCGAAUGUGACGUGGAGGAUGCUGGGAGAUUUCUGUGGCACUGACCCAUGAAGAAUGAUGGCAUGUGGCGUGUUAAAGGGACAGGAGGCCCCUGUGUUUCUAGGAUGCUGGGAGAUUUCAGUGGCACUGACCCAUGAAGAAUAAAGGCAUGUCCGCUCUCUCAGUCUCUCCUCACUUCAAAUCCAACUUUUUCUCAAAUUACGACACCACCACCACCACCAGUCCCUCCACUGCACCACCCGACCAAUCAUGUCUCCCCCUUUUUUUCCUUCUCCCCUCGGCUUUCUCUGGUGUCUGGUAGGAGAGCGGGAGAAAGAAUUCAAAGUCCUCACAAAUCUCAGUGAUUUUAACUUUUACAGGAGCCGGGAUUAUGUCACAGUGAGGCCCAGGCUUCACCGGCACAAAAGGCAGCGAUUUGUGUGUGUGUGUGUGUGUGUGUGUGCGUGAGUGUGUGUGAAAGAGCGAACCUCCAGGUUCAUUCACGUACAAGUCAGAAACCUUUGAGAGAGAUUAUUAUUUUCUUGAUUUUCUAAACAAAUUUUUAAUCUGAAAAAUCACUCACAGGGAAGCUGUGGAUUAAUCACAAUCAUUUGUAAUUAAUCAUGAUCAACACACACACAUGCAGAAACACACAGACCUAAUCCACUCCCCAGGUCCUGACCCCACCUCAAAUAAAUGACAUCCAAACUGUCCCCACUGGACACUGGGAUUGUCUCAGCAACAAUAGGUUUUUUUUUUACAAACUCUGUCCCCACAAGUAUAGCUACACCAAACACACACACACACACACACACUCCCUGCCCUUUCCAAAGCUCUCUCCUCCCUCCUUCCACCCCCCCUCCCCUCUCUGUGUCUCCCUCUCACAGACAUGUGUUCAGGCUACACCAGCAGACACUUUGAGCUGCUGACACGCUGCUGCUGCUGCCGCUGCUGCUGCUGCUGAUGCUGCUGCUCCUUCUGUCUUUCCCUACAUUUUUUGCUCCUCUCUCCCUCCGUCCUCCUCUCUCUCCUCCCUCUACUUCACCAUUCUCUCCUCAACUCUUUUCCCCUCAGGCUGAUGUGGCUCGUGUAAUCUGUGGCUGCACAUGAACAACUCACCGUUGCUGCUCCAGUUCAGAGGAACCGCAACAGAGGAGUGGGAGACGAGCAGAGGACACAUUUUGGAAUAGGCAGAAGAAG